rnacentral:rRNA from 1 species
AGAGUUUGAUCAUGGCUCAGAAUCAACGCUGGCGGCGUGCCUCAGACAUGCAAGUCGAACGAUUAAACUUUCCUUCGGGAAAGAUAUAAAGUGGCGCACGGGUGAGUAACACGUAAGUAAUCUACCUUCGAGUGGGGAAUAACGUUCGGAAACGAACGCUAAUACCGCAUAAUGCAGCGGCAUCGAAAGAUGACAGUUGUUAAAGGAGCAAUUCGCUUGAAGAGGAGCUUGCGGCAGAUUAGCUAGUUGGUAAGGUAAUGGCUUACCAAGGCUACGAUCUGUAUCCGGUCUAAGAGGACGGUCGGACACACUGACACUGAAUAACGGGUCAGACUCCUACGGGAGGCAGCAGUCGGGAAUUUUGGGCAAUGGGCGAAAGCCUGACCCAGCAACGCCGCGUGAAGGAUGAAGUAUUUCGGUAUGUAAACUUCGAAAGAAUGGGAAGAACUCAAUGACGGUACCAUUUAUAAGGUCCGGCUAACUACGUGCCAGCAGCCGCGGUAAUACGUAGGGACCAAGCGUUGUUCGGAUUUACUGGGCGUAAAGGGCGCGUAGGCGGCAAUUCAAGUCAUCUGUGAAAUCUCCGGGCUUAACCCGGAAAGGUCAGAUGAUACUGCUUUGCUAGAGUGCGGAAGGGGCAAUCGGAAUUCUUGGUGUAGCGGUGAAAUGCGUAGAUAUCAAGAGGAACACCUGAGGUGAAGACGGGUUGCUGGGCCGACACUGACGCUGAAGCGCGAAAGCCAGGGGAGCAAACGGGAUUAGAUACCCCUGUAGUCC